rnacentral:tRNA from 1 species
AAUAGGUUGGCAGAUAAAUGCUAAUGACUUAGGAUCAUUAAAUGAAUUUUAUUCACCUAUUA